AACUAUUUGGCUGAAUAAAGGCGGUAAUUUUGAAAAUUAUUUAUAAUUUAAUUUAAUAGUUU
rnacentral:tRNA from 1 species